UACACCGGCGGCCGACGUGAGUGAGGCCCGCACGCGCCAAACCGGCCAGUUGCUGGUUGUUCAUUAGACACCGGCUCUUGUCGCGGUCCUGGUCUGUACCCGCGUGUUCUAGUUUCCCGGGGGGACGGGACGGGUGGUUCUAUCUCUAACUGGUACAGUGCGCCGGUAUCAACGUAGCACUGUGUGUGUGUCUGUGUGUGCGUGCAGAAUAAGAACACAACGACGCUUUAGAAUAUGUGUCUUCCGUAAGUAAAUGUCACACACACGCAGGCUGUCUUUCACAAGCGACUGAAGGACUGCUGAAAAUAUACACAUACACUUAAGAGGAAACAUUUCGUAUUCCUAAGCAAUCCCCCCAAAGUGGUAUGCCGUCUCCGUUUAUGUUUCCCUCGGGCAGCAUUUAUUAUUGCGUGAACCAAUACCACCGAUAGUGACACUGAGGGUUGGAGUUGGAGAAAAGUUGUUGCCUCUGUGAAGAAAAGAAGAAACGAUCGGCUUUGACCUGUGUUUGACUUCCUGUGGACGUACUGGAAUACUUACGGCAAAGGCUCCGAGUUUGUGUCUGGUGGCUAGAGUGAGUGGAGUCCUGUGUCGGUCGGAAAGGA